UAAAAAUAAUAAAAUGGAAUUCUUUCUGUAUUAAAAAAAUAUGAGGCGAGAAGUGAAAGAUCUUCGUCUUCGCGACGUAGUAACAUGUCGACAAGAUGUUACCCUAGAAGUUCUAAGAAACACCAUCACCAUCACAGAUGAUUUUCUUUUUGUUAUUUCUCUGUAUUGACUUUAUCCUCAUUAUAUACGUCUUUAUAUAA